rnacentral:misc_RNA from 1 species
AACGCACGAGACCUGCGGACCUGCGGAGGGAUCAUUACCGAGUUAUCCAACUCCCAACCCCUGUGAAUUAUACCUUUAAUUGUUGCUUCGGCGGGACUUCGCGCCCGCCGGGGACCCAAACCUUCUGAAUUUUUUAAUAAGUAUCUUCUGAGUGGUUAAAAAAAUGAAUCAAAACUUUUAACAAUGGAUCUCU